rnacentral:rRNA from 1 species
UACAGAGGUCCCGAGCGUUGUUCGGAUUCAUUGGGCGUAAAGGGUGCGUAGGCGGCGGGGCAAGUCUGAUGUGAAAUCCCGGGGCUCAACCCCGGAACUGCAUUGGAUACUGCCUUGCUUGAGUACUGGAGAGGGGACUGGAAUUUACGGUGUAGCAGUGAAAUGCGUAGAUAUCGUAAGGAAGGCCAGUGGCGAAGGCGGCUCACUGGCCCGGUACUGACGCUGAGGUGCGAAAGCGUGGGGAGCAAACAGG